UACAGAGUGUGCUAUCGUUCUUCGGAUUUUCUGUGCGUAAAGCGUGCGUAGGCGGUUUUUUAAGUCGGAUGUGAAAUCCCCGAGCUUAACUUGGGAAUUGCAUUCGAUACUGGGAAGCUAGAGUAUGGGAGAGGAUGGUAGAAUUCCAGGUGUAGCGGUGAAAUGCGUAGAGAUCUGGAGGAAUACCGAUGGCGAAGGCAGCCAUCUGGCCUAAUACUGACGCUGAGGUACGAAAGCAUGGGGAGCAAACAGG
rnacentral:misc_RNA from 1 species